CAGUCAUGCUAGUGAGGAAUCAACUUGAUGGUUUGUGGGUUCGCUCGCAUACUUUCCGGUGCACUUCCUCACUCGGCAGGUUAGCAUCAAUUUCGGUUAUCAUAAAAAUUAAGGGAAUGUGGCUUUCUUCGGAAAGUGUUAUAGACCUUGAUCUAUGUGGUGACCGGGAUUGAGGAUUGCAGCGGAUACCCUGUGGCUCGUCACCUGGCUUCUGACGGUUGCCCCGCUUCGAUAGCUCGCUAACGUCGGUGGGACUCGAUUGUCUAGAUGUCGGAGUGAUUGAUUUCG
rnacentral:rRNA from 1 species